UUAACCCCUCCGUUGAUGAACGCCAUUAUUGGCCAUGAAGCACCCCCGGCCGACCCUACAUCUCUCUCCCAUCCUCUAUAAAAGGGCAGCCGAGCUUCACUCUUCUCCCUCCCACAACCGAGCUCUCUUUCUCCCCGAGCUUCCUAUCUCUCUCCCACUCGCCCACGCCGUCGCUGGAGUUCGUCCACGUCGCUCGUCGUCGUACCGCGCCGUCUGAACGCUCACCGACGACCAUGCCCGUUCUUUGCUCGCCAAGACCGUCGUUCAUCCCAAGGUUGAAGACAACCCGCUAAUUUAUUUUCUAAAUCAUGUUUUGAAUUUAUUUAUGGACUUGUGAAUUAUUGUUGUAAUAUUGAUGCGAUUUGGCGAUUCACGUGUAUGAUUUUAGAGAUUCGAUAUAUACGUGAAACCAAAAUCAAACCCUGCGAGAAUAUUUUAAAUAUGCGUAUGAUUUUAUAAUUCUAAAAAUGAACACGGUCACUAUUCAAUAACUUAGUGAUUUUCAUACUAGAAAUGUUUAUAAUUAAUUUCGCUUUAGUGUGUGGAACGAUAAUUGUUAGUAGUAUUUUAAGUGUAAACUUAGUUGCAUGAAGAAAUUGAAAUAGGCACUAAGUCAUGUAUUUUCUAGUCACAUGAAAAUAUAUAUUACUAUUCAUGAUAAAUGAAUUCAUAAGUAUAGCACUUAAGUACUUAGAAUUAGUAAGAUAUUUAUUUAUGUCAUAAUAACCAUGAAUUGGUUAUUAAAAGUCCUAUUUAGUAAUUUACAAUUAAUUCUUGGUAUAUUAAUGUCAGAAGAAUUAUAAAUAAAUAAUUUUUAGUUAUACGUAUAAAUUCUAUUUAGAAAAAAAAGGAGAAAACCGAAAGGAUAGAAUUUUAUAAUAAUAUUAAAAUAACCUAAUUAGACACUCAUACUUUUCUAAUAAAAAAUUGAUAGUUAUAUUGGUAAACAUAGGUUUCUAACUAAUCAAGUAGAUAACUUGUUUCUAGUUUAAAAUGACCUUUUAAUAGAUAUCAUAUUUAACAAGGUUCGUUAUAGAUAUUUAAGUAUAGACGUCUUACAAAGAAAUUUAAAAGAAUAUAUAGACCAUAUGUUUCUUAAUAAAAAAAUAAAAGAUAAAUAUUUGUCUAAUUAUAUUUAGCCUUAUAUUCAAGUUUUUAUAAAUGCUGAUAUAUUUCAUCUCACAAUGUUUAAACGUAGUAUAGAGUUUUUCUAAAAAUAGGUGUUAAAAUGGAGUAAUUAGUGUUCUUGCUUUUGCAAACUAAAAUGGUAGUUUGUAUAAUGUCGAAUACAAUUUCAAUUUCCUUCUUAAAGAAUUAGAUCAUUUGUUUCUAAUUUAGAACUAAAGAGAAUUAAUAGAUUAAUUAUCCUUUCUCGUAAUUUAUUAAUCAACCCUAUAGUCAGUUUGUGCAUAACUAGAUAUAUGGCAUGAUUAAUGAUUUCAUAAAAUUUAGUCCACAUUAUAUACGAAUCACUUAGCUUUUCCUAAAGGAUAAAAUAAAGUAAUAGGAAUUUAAGUUCUUUUAUAACUUAAAACGUUACUUUAUAUAUAUUAACUUCGAAUAUAAUAAUAUAGGCCAUGUACUUUCUAAUAAAAAUAAAAGAUAGUUAUUUGUUCAUUAUCUUUUGCAUGAAAAUCCACUUAAGGACAUAUAAUCUUGUUUUUCAUAAAAUAUGUGUUUAAUAAUAAUGAUCUUUUCAUAUAACACCCAUUUAGAUUUAUAUCUUAAUUUGCCAUGAGUGAUUGGUUAACAAUAUUUUAUAAUAUGUUUCAUAAUGCUUCAUAAAUUAAUGUUUAAUAAUGUGUUUCGUAACUCAUUAACCUUAGAUAUAACGUAUAUAUUUUCAAAAAAAGUUAAAUAGUUUUAAUAUUGUUAUAACGUGUUUUAUCAUCCUAUAAACCAUUAAUCUUAGACAUAUCACAUACGACGUUUUAUAAAAGAUUAAAUUGGUGAACCUAAUAUUUGUAUAUUUUAAUUAAGAUAUUUAUAAGCUCAGGUCUUGUUUUAUAAAGUAUAGAUCACACAUUUUUGAAAAGAAUACCUUUUUAUUAUAACCCUUGUGUGUAACGUUUUUGAAAAGCGAACGCUCUUUUCGUUAGGCUUUCUUUUAGCUUUACGUAUGGUGAAUGUUGUAUGUUAUUGAAUGGUGUUUAUUCUUCUUGUUUGUUUGUGUGAUAUUCAGUGGUUGAUCUAGUAGUUAAGAAUCAAGAUCUAUUCCGAUCUGUGGAAGAACCUCAAGUUUUCUAUAAGCAAGGCAAGUGGACUUCUCCCUCUGCAUACUCUGUUUGAUCCCAAACAAUACAUUUAAUAAAGUUUAUUUUUCGAUAUAUAUAUGCAUAAUUUGAUGGGUUACCUAUUUAGAUACCCCUAACCUUUCCAACCUGACUCCUUGUUUAACCUAGGAUUAUGAUCUAAUCAAGUAGCUAUGCUAUUGCUACAACUUUAAAUUUAUGCAGUCACUCCUUUUUAUGAUAUUAAUGUUCCAAAUGGUAAGUUUACAUUGUUGUUGUUAACCCGAUGGUUAAACAAGAUUAUUGCAUAUUAAUUGAAACAUGGAGUGACCACCCGGGAAAACAGUGCUACCAUGAGAACUAUCAUGGAUCUGGUCUUGGCUAAAUAACUAGGGAAGUCUUAUGUUGGGUGCUGGUCAUGGUCGACAGGAACGAGGGCAUCUGGCAAGCUCUUAUAGUUCCGGCUCAGGCAGAUUGGAUACGGGCAUAGUUCCCAAAGCUUUACCCUGCAGACUGGUCUAUAAGUUGGUUACGUUAGGUGUGCCUUAUGUAGUUUGACCAUUUCCAGCAUUUGCGUAAUGAGGAUUCUAGGGAGAAGCCUCGUAGUGAGACCCUAGCCAUUCACCUCGGAAGUGAAUACGGGUCUAGCUAACCCGGGCUAGAAGGGAAUCGCGACUCAUGGGUAAAGAUGCGCCACCUCUGUAGAGUGUAAAACUGAUAUAUCAGCCGUGCUCACGGUUAUGAGCAGCCUAGACUCCUCACAUGAUAAUUGAACUUGAAGAUGGAAAUAAAUCGAGAUCCGAUGAUCUACCAAUGGUUUGCUUAAGUGGUUUCACUUAAGUGUUUUUGAUAUACUCUUAUACCUUUGUUUAAUGGGAAUACUUAGGAUUCAUAAUUAUUAGUAAGACAGGUGUUGUUAAUAAAAUGUUGACCAAGUAAAAUGCUUACUGCUCAACCUUAGCCUCACCUUGUUAAACUUGCAUUAGUUUUUCCCCCAAUUACUGAGCCCCGACCAUAAGUGAGCUCACCCUUGCUUAAUUUUGAUCAGAAAUUUGCAGAUGAAGAUAUGAUGUUGAACUCCAUGGAUGCUAGUCUAGUGAUACCCCCGGUCAUCUUCCUGUGGAUGGAUGUCCAUGUUCGCUGUACUUUGAUGAAUAAAGGUUAAGACAUUAUGUCUGUUCAAA
rnacentral:lncRNA from 1 species